AUUGAACGCUGGCGGCAGGCCUAACACAUGCAAGUCGAACGAGUGGCGGACGGGUGAGUAAUGUCUGGGAAACUGCCUGAUGGAGGGGGAUAACUACUGGAAACGGUGGCUAAUACCGCAUACUAUCAGAUGUGCCCAGAUGGGAUUAGCUAGUGGGUGGGGUAACGGCUCACCAAGGCGACGAUCCCUAGCUGGUCUGAGAGGAUGAUCAGCCACACUGGAACUGAGACACGGUCCAGACUCCUACGGGAGGCAGCAGUGGGGAAUAUUGCACAAGGGGCGCAAGCCUGAUGCAGCCAUGCCGCGUGUAUGAAGAAGGCCUUCGGGUUGUAAAGUACUUUCAGCGGGGAGGCGUUACCCGCAGAAGAAGCACCGGCUAACUCCGUGCCAGCAGCCGCGGUAAUAC
rnacentral:rRNA from 1 species